rnacentral:rRNA from 1 species
UUUAACUGAAGAGUUUGAUCAUGGCUCAGAUUGAACGCUGGCGGCAGGCUUAACACAUGCAAGUCGAGCGGGGGAAGGUAGCUUGCUACUGGACCUAGCGGCGGACGGGUGAGUAAUGCUUAGGAAUCUGCCUAUUAGUGGGGGACAACAUCUCGAAAGGGAUGCUAAUACCGCAUACGUCCUACGGGAGAAAGCAGGGGAUCUUCGGACCUUGCGCUAAUAGAUGAGCCUAAGUCGGAUUAGCUAGUUGGUGGGGUAAAGGCCUACCAAGGCGACGAUCUGUAGCGGGUCUGAGAGGAUGAUCCGCCACACUGGGACUGAGACACGGCCCAGACUCCUACGGGAGGCAGCAGUGGGGAAUAUUGGACAAUGGGGGGAACCCUGAUCCAGCCAUGCCGCGUGUGUGAAGAAGGCCUUAUGGUUGUAAAGCACUUUAAGCGAGGAGGAGGCUACUUUAGUUAAUACCUAGAGAUAGUGGACGUUACUCGCAGAAUAAGCACCGGCUAACUCUGUGCCAGCAGCCGCGGUAAUACAGAGGGUGCGAGCGUUAAUCGGAUUUACUGGGCGUAAAGCGUGCGUAGGCGGCUUAUUAAGUCGGAUGUGAAAUCCCCGAGCUUAACUUGGGAAUUGCAUUCGAUACUGGUGAGCUAGAGUAUGGGAGAGGAUGGUAGAAUUCCAGGUGUAGCGGUGAAAUGCGUAGAGAUCUGGAGGAAUACCGAUGGCGAAGGCAGCCAUCUGGCCUAAUACUGACGCUGAGGUACGAAAGCAUGGGGAGCAAACAGGAUUAGAUACCCUGGUAGUCCAUGCCGUAAACGAUGUCUACUAGCCGUUGGGGCCUUUGAGGCUUUAGUGGCGCAGCUAACGCGAUAAGUAGACCGCCUGGGGAGUACGGUCGCAAGA